AAUUUUAAGUCAAAUCUGCUCCAUGAUAUGAUUAAAUAGCUGCAGUAUAAAUAACUGUACUAAGGUAGCAUAAUAAUUAGUUUUUUAAUUGAAAACUGGAAUGAAUGAUUUAAUGAGAUAAAAACUUUAUUAAUAUUAAAAAAUAAAUUUUUUUUUAAAUAAAAAAAUUUAAAUGUUUUUUAAAGACGAGAAGACCCUAAAGAAUUUUUAUUAAAAAAUUAAAUUUAUUAAAUAUAAUUUUUUAUAUAUUUAAUUGGGGAAAUUUUAAAAUUAAUUAAAUUUUUAAAUAAUAUAAACAAUAAUGUUUGAAUAAUUAAAAUUUUUUUAAAAAAAAUAAAAUUAAAUUACCUUAGGGAUAACAGCAUAAUUUUUUUUAAAAGUUCAAAUUUAUAAAAAAGUUUAU
rnacentral:rRNA from 1 species